UACGUAGGCAGCAAACGUUGUUCGGAAUUACUGGGCGUAAAGCGCGUGUAGGCGGCAUGACAAGUCGGGUGUGAAAGCCCUGGGCUCAACCCAGGAAGUGCACUCGAUACUGUCGUGCUAGAGUCCCGGAGAGGGUGGUGGAACUCUCGGUGUAGAGGUGAAAUUCGUAGAUAUCGAGAAGAACACCGGUGGCGAAGGCGGCCACCUGGACGGUGACUGACGCUGAGACGCGAAAGCGUGGGGAGCAAACAGG
rnacentral:rRNA from 1 species